rnacentral:misc_RNA from 1 species
GGGAAGUCAGUAGCUUAUGUGCGCUCGUGAUGCGAGGGUCGUUUUCGUUGCGUUUUAGAGGCGGCGGUAAUAAUGUCACCACAUGUCAGUUACUGUAUUAGAAUACGACAACAGAUCGUUACAGUGAGAAGAAGAAUAUCGUAGAACGCGACUCGCGAUCGUUGUUACGAGUUAACGUUUCGGUUUGUUCGAGAGAAGUUUGUUUUACUUUUGUUUGUUUUGUUUUUUUUUUUCUUUGGUUUUUUUUUUUUUAAUUUUUUUUUUACUUCGCUUCUCACACACGCGCACCAACUUUGUUCAUCCACCGACCGGCUUUGAUUUUUCACUUUUUCUUUCGCUUGAUUCGCGGCAGACGAAAAUUACUGCCUCGUCGAUAAAGGAGAGGAGGGAAAGUGAGGAAAACAAAACAAAAAAAAAAAAAAAAAGAAGGAAAAUCGACUUCUGCUCCCGAUCGAUCAUCUGCCGACGGAAUUUCUUUUUUUUUUCUUGGACUCAGCGUUGUUGCGUGACCGGAGAGAUUUCUUCGAAAGGGAGAGAGAAAAGGGGAAUGCUCAACGUCGUGUUUUCAACAUCCGUCCUCUGCAACGUACGAGGAGAAGAUAAACAAAACAGAAACAAAAGAAGACAAGAUCAAAUCGUCGAUUAUACGAUCGAACAAUUGCCGCGCGCGGAUUUUUGAAUAAUCUGUUAUCCGCUCAGUUUUAUUCUCGCGGGACAGAUCUCGGCGAUCCGAUAUAUUAUUAUUGUACAUUGUUGUUGUUGUUUAUAAAUCAUCACGCGCAGCGCACAGGAGUUGCUGUUUUUACGUUUCAAGUUCUUUUCGAUUGUUACGAACGCUUUGCUUAAGAAUCGAGAACGUUGAAAUUUCCCCCAAAGAAACGCGGUGAAAAUUAACCACGUGUAAUCAACGGACGGGUGAAAAAUACUUUGCUCAAAAUCCCACCUCAAAAAUCAUCGUGUAACGCUUAAACAAUAAGAAAAACAAAACAAAAAAAAAAAAAAAAAAACUACGAGAAACAGUGAAUGUAUGUAUAUAAAAAUACAUAUACGAUGAAUAAAAUACGUUACAACAAGAAGCUGGCAUUCGACGCGUAAAAGAGAGAAAAAAAGAAGAGCGAAAGGAGUGUACUUUUUUUCUGUGCUUCGAAUUAUGAAAUAACUGCAUCCUUGCGUGUGUCGAUACUGCGUAAUGUAAUUACAAUUUAAAAGUAAAAGUGAAGUGAAAAGUAAAGUUGAAUAGAGAGAGAUAAAUAGAGUCGCCGUAAUCGGAGGUCUCGUUAUUUCUUGUUGAUUACGAAGAAUACAUAAAAUUCGAAUCAGAACGCGUAAUAAAUAAGUUAAAAUGGUGCCGCAACAGCAGGACAGCCCUUCAAGCUCGGGGAUUCCCCUUUUCGGAUCGCAGCUUGUGGAUAAAAAUUCGCCGACACCUUACUCGGACGCUACUCAGACUAAAAAGAACAACCCAAACCACGUAAAACGUCCGAUGAACGCGUUCAUGGUGUGGUCGCAGAUCGAGCGUAGAAAAAUCUGCGAGGCACAGCCGGACAUGCACAACGCGGAGAUAAGCAAGAGGUUGGGUAGACGUUGGAAGACGUUGGACGAGGCCGAGAGGAAACCUUUCAUAGUGGAGGCUGAGACCCUUCGUCAAUACCAUAUGACGGAGUAUCCGGACUACAAGUACAGGCCGCGAAAAAAGACAACGAAACCAGCGCCGUCCCCGAAGGCCAAAGACGCGCCUAAGAAGACCUCGAAGAAGCAGCAACAACAGCAGCAACAACAGUCCGCGACGUCCGGGGUGACGAAGAUCCAGCACAAGAACGACUCCAACAACAACAGCAGCCUUCAGACACCCGUAAAGAGGCUCCAGUCGGUACCGACAACGAGUCCUCUGUCUAGGCUAAAGGCCAGACUGGCCCUGGACAAGCGGGGCUCCGUUUACACACCGACACCACCGACAAUAACUGCCAAGGUGCCGAACAGCCCAUCUUGCGACACCCGGUUCCCCGACUCGCCGGAGUCGGCGAGCUUUUACGAGGACGCUUACGCCGAUUGUACUUCGAUCGCGACGCCGUCGAAGGUGAAGCGGGAGGGUGAUAUCAAGCAGGAGGUCGUCGAGCUUCCAGAGUUCACCUGCGGCGCCGACACCAUCGUGGCGUCGAGCCCGAUAAGGCCAUUUUCGGAGAUAAGGAACUACCCGAGGAACUCCGUGCUAUCCUCGAGUUCCUGCUCGUCCUCGUCCUCCACCACCACCUCCGUCUCCGCCUCGUCCUCGACGUCCUGCAAGGGUUUCCCCGUCAAGGAGGAACCACUCGAGGCUGCGGCUACGGCCACCAGCACCGGAUCAACGACGACCGGAUGCUCGGCUUCGACACCGGUUGUUAAAAUGGAGGAGAGCACGAACCCCCUUGCCGACCUCGACUGUCUCACCGAUCUCUUCCAAAUUCAACCCUGUGACUUCAAGCUCGAUCUCGACAUCGACACCAUAGCCACCGAUCUCGACUCGUUUGAAACCGACAGCUCAAGCAGCGGGUCACAUUUCGAAUUCUCAUGUACACCCGACGUUACGGACAUGCUUUCCGACAUCGGUGUCGACAAUGAGUGGGUCUCGUACUGAUCGGGGAUGGUUCUUCAUCUUCUUGCGAUAUAUGUUUCUUUUUCUUUCUUUUUUUUUUUUUUUUCCUUUUAUACACAGUAUAUAUAUUAUACAUACGUAUAUACAUAAACAUAACAAACCUCGAUAAGUCAAGUAACAAAAAUAUUAUAUAUAUUGGUAUAGAUUGUAUGAUAUAAGUUGAAGUUCAGUUACGGUGAACUAUAUAUAGGAUGGAUAAGAAAGACGCGCGUCGAGUUUUAAGUUGUGUAGAUUAUUAUUAUUAUUAUUAUUAUCAUUAUUAUUAUUAUUAUUAAUAUUAUUAUCGUAUUAAGGUAUGUAUAUUGUGUACAAGUCAAUGUUAAGAAGCUGCCGUUUGAUCUCUUUGCUUCGAUAUCGGUAGAGGGAAAGAAAGAAGGAAAGAAAUAUAGAGGGGAAAGUGAGUGAGAAAGCCGAGGCUUUUUGUUCUCUUGUUAGGAACCUCCGCCAACCUUAGCCAUCGCUUUGAACAAAAAUGUAACAAGCUCCGAUAACUCACGUUUUGGAUUGGUGGAAAAAUUUCGUCGCUGUGCAGAUUUUAAACUUGAGCCAUGAUGCGGUAGUUUCGAUGUAUAAUCGUUUCGUGCCGUGGGUACCGGAAGGUAAAGUUUUUCCAAAGUUCUCGCGAGUCGGGUGAAAUUGUAAAUUUUUGAAACCGUUUGUCGCGUGUACUGUAAUUUUUGUCCAUCAAGCUUGACGGGAAUAUCUAGUUUUUAUUAAAAUCUUUUUCUGUUCCGCGGUCCGUCAACGAUCGGUAAUUAAAAUUUAAGUUCAACGUUUAGAGUACCUUCCAUGAGUUUAUCAUUCAAUCUUCCGUAUCUUGCCACAACAAUUUUCGAUCAAGCUUGAUGCGAUCGAAAAAUCGCGUACACGUACGUACGAUAAUUAUUGCAUUAUGUUAAAACAAUUUUCACCUACCUUCAGUCUAAAAAAAGUAAAAGAAAACGAACACCCGAGACGAGGCGAUGAGAAAACCGUUGAAAUUUCUUGAAAAUUCACCAAACAAUUGAGAAGAAAAUCCGAAACCUUGGCAAUUUGUCGAAAACUUUGAAAUGCCGCGGCAAAGUUUGUACACGUAAUAUACUAGUCCUGUAUAAAAUAAUACCGCGUUGUAUAAAUGACGCAGAGACGCGUGUAUAUUAACAUCGUAGAUACACAGGAAUGGAAAGGCAAGGCAAGGCUAGGAGAGAGAAAUAGAGAAAUAGAGAGAGAGAGAGAGAGAGAGAGAGAGAGAGAUAGAGAAAGGGAGAAAGACAAACAAUAACGCAAACUAGGGAAAUUGAAGGAAUCAAUGGAAAAGUGGUCAAUUUGUAAACAAUUAACUAGGAAACCUCACACUAUAUAACAUAUGCAGGCUGUGAACAUCUCUGGAAUCAGAAUAAUGAUUAAAUGAAAAAAAAAAAAAACAAACAAACAAAAAAAAAAACAAGAAAAAAAAACAAAGUAAAGUAUCAUGAAAAAAUUGAACAAAAAUAAAUUGAAGCUAUUGGCGGUGAAAAGAGCGAGACAGAAAGACAAAGAGAGAGAGAGAGCGAGUUGAAAGGAUGGAAAGACAGUAUGACAAAAUUUUGUUUAAUAAAGACGAAACUUGAAUAAAUAUUGAAAAAUUACAGAACGUUAAUACAAUUAUUGUUUCGUCGAAAGACGUAAUCAUCGAUAAAAUUGCGUGCAGAUUUUCAACGUGUGUGUAGCGUGCGUUGUGCUGCCCCACCUUUGUAACAAAAAAAAAAAAAAAAAAAAACACAAAAGAAAAAGAAAAAAAAAAGAAGGCACAAAUUAAACACGAGAAAAAUGAAAAGCGUGAUUGUCGAAUGAAAGAAGAAAUAAGGAAAAUAAUAAUAAAUAACAAUAAUAAUAUUUUGUCGAUUAGAAAGAUGGAGAAGUAAAAUUUGAAAAAGGUAAAGAAAGGAGAGAAAAAAUAGAAAAAAAAAAAAAUUAUUUUGGGAACGAAAUCAACUCAACGAAAACUGCCAAUUUUGUAAUAUUAACAAGUAUUGUGUAUAAUAUUAUAUUAGCGGAAGUGCAUUACUUAUAUUAUAUAUAUAUAAAUAUUAUACUAUACUGUAUAUGUAAAAAGACGAGACAUGUAAUAGGAGAUAUGUAAUAACGUUAUAAUAUUAUUAUGUGCGUACCGUGUACGUAACUGGAUUUUGUUCAAGUCGUUGAUUAAUAUGAAAAAUAGGGCGGACACAUAUCAAUUUCGUUUCACGUAAAAAAAAAAAAUAAAAAAAUAAAAUAAAUAAAAUAAACUACAGAUCUGACGUUCGUAAUAUUGUAAAAUCGCGCGCUUGCUUCGAGCCGAACUUUUCGAUUUUUUCCACUGACUUUACUUGUUAUCCGCAAUUGAUCUAGCUUCUCCUCACUGUUGUCUCGUGAUAAUAUUACGCUCGCAUGAUGUGUAACGUGAAAAUGAAGAAAAACGAAAAAAAAAAACAAUAAACAUAAAAAAUACGUGUGAGCAAAGAAGAUGAAAAAAUUAGAUUACUGUAAUUUCCCUUUUGGAAUAAAGUUGUCUAAAAUGCAGUAAAAUAAUUGGGUGAUGGGCCAGUAUUGUAUUAGCUUUUUCUCAACGCGCGUCUUGUAUUUUGAACUGUGCAGGCUCUGAAAUAAAAUGUAAUUUUUCAAAUAUAAAAACGUUGAUAAAUAAUUGGCAACUUUCGUCACGAUAAGAUAUUUCGUUUUCAUUUUUUCAAAUGUCGGAUCAAUUUUUCUUCUUCAGCACCUUCAUAGAUUGUACAGUUUUUGCGCGAUUCGUUUGGGGGGUGAAAAAAAAAAAAUAAAAUUCUUCAAAUGUUUCGUUUUUCUCCAUCUAUGAUUUUUCUGCCUUUCGCUAAGGCGAAAGUUUUGAUCACGGUAUCGAGAUUACAAAUUUUUAAUAAAAAUUUGACACGUAUUAAUGAUGAGUGAAAAGUUUUUUUUUUUUUUUUUUUUUUUUUAGAAAUUUUCUUCGUUCUCUUGAUAUUCGUUUUUAUAUAUAUUUUUUUAUUUUUCUUUAUUUCACUUUACUCGAAUGUGGUGAAAGGUAGGACAGCGAUAAAAGUUGUUGAUCGAUAUGACGACUAUUGGCAAAGCGGCAAAUUUGGAGCAAAUAAUGAAAAUGCAACACGUUUCAUCUUCGACGCAUUAUACACGGGUCAAUGCUAUCGUGAAAUAAUACGAUUGAUCGUGCGACCCGAUCCAAAUUUGUCCUGAAAUGGAAAAACAUGAAAAUUGAAUUCGAUUUGGGAUAAUUGGAAAACUUAGAGUCAUAAGCAGAUUGAUAUGUAAGAUGAAAGAAAGAAAGAAGGAAGGAAGGAAGAGAAGAAAUAAAGAAAAAGAAAAAAAAGUACACAAACGACAAAAAUAUAUAUACAUAAAAAAAAAAAAAAAAAAGUGCAUACACAUAUUUUCCUCGCGUAUAAUAUGCAUAUUAUUAAUUUUCGUGGCUUAAUAAUCGUCUAUGUGAAAGUGGUUUGUAUUAUAUAUUAUAUAUUUGCGCAAAUUGUGAUUGGAGAAUAAUAAGUUAUAUUAUAAAUCGAUAUAUAGCUCGUACACACACACACACACACACACACACACACACACAUUGAAUUAAAUAUAUAAAAAUAUAUGUAUAUUCGUACAUAUGGUAACAGUGAAGGAAAACAACACUUUUUAAGAGGCAUGACACAGGAAAAAAAAUCAAACGAAAAGAGAGAGAAUAAACAAACAAAUUCGGCAAAAAUUAUACAUGACGAGUGAAUCGACAAGCAUUUGAUAAAAAAGUAACAAAAAAAAAAAAACAAAAAAAAAAAAAAAAGAAAAAUUGAAUUUAUAAAAUGAACAAAAAUAAAGUAAUGAUAGUUUUUGUCUUAAAAAAUAAAUGUUACAAAUUAUAUUAGACACUAUUAACAAAUUGAUGAUAUAUCAACGCUCAGGGCAUUUCGAAAAUAUUGCGUGAUCGAAAUCGCAGAUGUUGCGUGAAACGAUCAAUUUUUAGUGGAAAAUCGCUUUGAUCCGAUGUCAGUUGUAGAAGACAGAAUAUGAAAACAAAUUGAACGAACAGAUGAUUGGUUAAAAAUUAAGGAGUUCCCAAAAAUUACAGUUUCGAUCUAUCAUUUUUACGAUAUGCCUCUUGCGUUGUAUAUUUUCCAUUAUUAUGGCUGUUGCUGGUAAAAUUUCGACUUGGUGAAUCAGAGACAAGGACACACGCCUCAAACCUCAGUCAAAUAACGAUAACGCGUAAAUAUAUUUAUUAGACAUAUGAAAAAAAUAUAUACAAUGUUUCGUGCAUCUAUAGGCUUGCUGUGGGUGUAUUAUAUGAGUACAGAAAAGAGAGAGACAAAGAAUUUUUUUAAAACUAAAUUAGGGUAGUUUUCAGAUGAAUAAUAAUGAUAAAAAAAAAAAAAAACAAGAAAACAAAAAAAAACAAACAAACAAACAAACAAAAAAUCACAUACAAAUCAAUGCUCAACGACAACGUCUGUAAAAUUAAUAAUAUUAACGAUGAUAGUUUAUGGUAAUGACGUAACAAUAACGAUAGUAGUAAUAACGAUAAUAAUAAGAGUAACGGUACGUAUAAUAAUGACGUAAACAGUAAUAAUAAUUGUAACAAUAACGAUAACAAUAAUAAUGAUAACGCCGAUGAAAAGAAAAUGAAAGCAACAAGGCAGGGAAACCGAAUGGGUAACGCUGUGAGUAAGCAAUGUUUUCUUUAAACCAUGUGGAAAUUUUACACGCAACAAUCGUGUGUUAAAAUUAGGAUUUUCCAAUUUUUAAACCGUAAGAUUGAUAUUAUAUAACAUAUAUUAUAUACAUGAAUAUUAUAUAUAUAUAUACGAUAAAGCAGAUAGGUGUGUAGUAGUUUUUAACAAAUUUUUAGCGUGUAUAUAUGUCCAAUUGAAAUGAGAGGUAUAGCGAGGAGUAAAAAACAAAACCGAACAAACAAAUUAUGAAAACAAAAAAGUAAAUACAGAAAUCUUAACUUUUUAUAUGCCGUUAUUUGACGAAGUUUUUUUUGUUUUUUUCUCCUUUAUUCGGCUUUUUUUUUCCCUCUAUUUUAUUACAAACCUUAUUACUUUCAUCUUAAUUCAGUUCCGUUCCACGGCUAAUAUAUUCUUCUCAUUUCUUUUAUGUUCUCUCUCUCUUUUUCUCUCUCUCUCUCUCUCUGUUUUACCCGAGUUUCUUUAUUUCGUUGGAAAUCUUUCGUUUCCCUCUGGCGUUACAUCGUUUAACGAUUAAUUAUCAUUUGAUUCGCGUCUUGUCAGGGAAAAGAAAUACGAGGGGGGCAAAAAAAAAAAAAAAAAAAAAACAAAAAAAAAAAUAUACCUACAAAAUAGUACGAACAAGAAUCGAAUUAAACAAUUUCGUGAAAUUAUUCAUAGAAAUCAACAUUGCAAUUGAUUCACUGCAAACCGAAAAGACGAAAAGACUUGGAACGAUGCACGCCGAGGUUUGAUUUGAGAAAACGUUGUGUUGAAUAUUUAUUUAUAUUAUAACGGUAUCAUUUUACUUACAAAUAUAUUGUUAUACCCUGUAAUAUUAGAAUCAUGAAAGGCCAAACCGCUUUGAAUGAGAUAAUCCCUUACCGAUGGAAAGAGUUUGUGGAAAGCGAUGGGGAAUAAAAACUGGAGAAGAAAGUGGUAAUAAAAAGCGCACCAAUUUCGGCCGAAAUGGAAAUUAAAAGUAAAACGAUAAAUAAAAAAAAAAAAAUAAUCUAUUUUUUGCAAACA